rnacentral:lncRNA from 1 species
AAAGGCAUUAUUAUUGUACAAAUCCCAGGCAUAGGGAGGAAAUCACAGUAUGAGUGAAAAAUGGGUUGGUAAGAAAAGGGGCACUGCAGAACUUGGGCCAAGGAACUCAGAUGCUGUGUGUUCAGAGAGAUCAAAGGAAUCUGAAGGAAAUUACUAAUCCCAAUCAGGUGGAAAUGAGUGAAUCUGUGCUCCAUAAAUAUAUAGAAAUAUACCUGCUGUUCAUAGAAAAUCUCUUGGCAAAAAGAUCAAAGGACUUCAGAGAUAUUUUCCAUGACAUGCUCAUGAGAUUGAAUGGCGUGGGGACAGGUCUUCUCUUAUCCCUGUUGUCCAGUGAGGAAGUUGAAGAUACAGAGACAGAACAUGAAGUAAUUAGCAGAAAACAGAAGCCAUCUAACAAGGUGCGUUGCACUUAUGGGAACUUGCCGUUGGCUGAUGAAAUGCAGGCCUGCCAUAAUUAGAGAGAUCACUAUUUCACUAUGGGGGAAAGGGUCAAAGAAUAAUUCCUGGGGAAUAAUCACAAUGAUCAGGAUGGGAGUAGGAAGAAGAAUCACAGAAGGAGACAUAACCUUUUGACUAAGCUGUUGAAGACUACUAAACCAAACUUCAACUCCCUAGAAAAGGAAGCGUUGCUGACUCCAUUCAAACAGAGGAAGUGACUGACCAUUGGAUCACAGAUUUAAUACUAGAAGAAACUUUUGAGACCCACUUGUCCAACUCACUCAUUUUGAAGAUGAAGAAAAAGGACUUGUUCAAGGUCGUAUAGUCAUAUAUGUCACUGAGUACAAUAGACAGGUUUUUGAAUCCAAAUCCUCUGACUCCCAAAACAGCAUUCUUCUCAUUGUAGCACUAUAAAAGGGUCAUAUAUCUAGGAUCUUGGAGAAUUUGUAUUGAGGAAGGAAAGAAGAGAGAGGAGAGAAGAGGAGAAGAGAGGAGACGAAAGAAAAGGAGAGGAGAGGAAGGAAGAGGAAAAUAAAAAGACAAAGAAGAGUCA